GAUGAAGAACGUAGCGAAAUGCGAUAAGUAGUGUGAAUUGCAGAAUUCAGUGAAUCAUCGAAUCUUUGAACGCACAUUGUGCCCCUUGGUAUUCCAUGGGGCAUGCCUGUUCGAGCGUCAUUUGUACCUUCAAGCUCUGCUUGGUGUUGGGUGUUUGUCUCGCCUUGCGCGUAGACUCGCCUUAAAACAAUUGGCAGCCGGCGUAUUGAUUUCGGAGCGCAGUACAUCUCGCGCUUUGCACUCAUAACGACGACGUCCAAAAGUACUUUUUACACUCAUGACCUCGGAUCAGGUAGGGAUACCCGCUGAACUUAAGCAUAUCAAUAAGCGGAGGA
rnacentral:misc_RNA from 1 species